UCUAUGCAGACGGCUGCUUCACGAACGCCCAAGGGAUACGCACAGCAUGGAACACAAUAACACGUGCGCUUGUCAGAUCGAAAACGACAGAAGGGAAGGACCAAGGGAAGUACCAGGAGCUUAGCAAUUAUAUCUUAACUGAGGCGCUUAAUUGUUCUGAUAAAAAUAAUUUUGGCCUUUCUCGUAGUUUUAAACAAAGCACAAUACCGUCAGACGACACGAAGAGCCUGCAAGUAGAAGCAUGAAGCCCAACACGACCGCGGAACUCCUUAGGGAUUUUAAGAUGGACAAAAUUAAGAAUGCUAAUGUUAUUCUUGAACUUAUGAAGAGACUUGAGCUGUGUGAGAGAAACUAUGCAGAAAUAAUCUGCAGACAUGAAUGGUAAUAUCACAAAGAAAGGGAAAAGAUUGCAGAAGGUGCUGCUAACAGCCCAAGUCCACUUGGUGCUCUUGUACAUACUGAGGUAAAGGUGUAAAGGUGGAUGGGUGUUGGGGGUCAGAGCCCGGCAACUUGUCACAACAAAGUAAACAGUACAAUGGAUGAAACAGUUGAUAAAUGGUAUCAUUUCUCAGGUUGUUAAUUUAGGAGUUACUGGUAUAGUUUAUUUCACACAGCCUUGUGGUACAGUCACCAACUUAAAUGCUGCUGGCCAUGUGGUGAUGUAGGAUGGCCAGUAGCACAUGAUAAAGUCACUUGAUUUAUAGCAAUUCAAGUCUUAAAUCACAUUAAGUUGACAGCAAAUGUAAAAUUAUGGAGUUGCAACUCAUAGUUUUGUUAGUUUCUGUGCAGUGUUUAAAGUGCACAGAAACUAACAAAACUAUGAUAAUAAAUAAAUCAUGUGAUAAUAAAUCAUGUGAUUAUUUUACAGCCAAUAACUAACUUUGAUUGAUAUGAUGUGAAUCUGCUGUCAUGUAAAAUUUUACCCGAAUGCUAGAGUGGUUUUAAUGCUGAAAGUUCGUGGAGGAAAUUUAGACUCAUUGGGUAUUCAGAAAAGAUCUUUUCCAUUAUUUUCACCAUUAAUGAGGGUGAAAUUUGCCAUCUCUGAGCUAUGGCUGGAAGAGAGCUGUGUCUAGGAGGAUACUGUUUCCAUGCUCAGGGUCCUAUUUCUGCCUAUUGUGACCACCAGAUUUACAACUGGCAUGAAACAAUUAUUGUUAUCAUUAUUAUUAUUAUUACUAAUUGUUAUUGUUAUUACACAAAGUUGCUGUCAACUGAGAUUGAUUGAUUAUUUAAAAUUAUAUGCAGCAUCAGUAGCUUUAGUCAUCAACAGCAUAGAGUCUAGAGUACAGACCAUUACCAACUUGAUACAGCAUAUCAGAUGACGAAUGUAGACUUAGAAGAUGGCAAAAAGUAAAGAAAAUGCUUAUGAAGAAAAAGAAAUAUGAGACCAAAGGCUCUGAGAAAAUGUUGCAGAUACAAACAAUCUUAGAUUUCUUUAAUACUACAUGCAGUUAUUGAAUAUUGAAGUAUUUUUCAUUAGUAAAACUAAGACAGCUGA